CCCUAUGGGGCGCAGCAGCAUUGGAAUAAAAUGAAGUUUGUUUUACGAGUGUUUCCUAUAAAAAUAUUGAAGUAGGUAAAUAAAGGUAUAAAGACAAAACAGAAAGGAGGAAGAAAGCUGUUUUCAGUGAGAGUCGUUACUUUUUUAGAAUGUUGUUUAUCUUAAAGAAUACUAUUUUAAAAACUUAUUUUGGAGGAGAGAAUUAUGUUCAGAGUUAAAAUGCUGGUUUGUUUAGUAUCAGUCACAAUUUUAAGCGGUACUGUUUUCGCAGACAAAACUUUCUACGGUGGCAGUAGCGCUAAGAAUUGGACCGAUCCGGCCAAUUGGUGGGCCCCGAAUGCUGUUCCUGUCGCUGGUGAACAGGCUGCUAUCGGAGUUGGCGGAGCGGAUAGAAUAGCGAAUAUAACAAGCGGAACGAUCGCACAUUGCGGAGACCUUCAGUUGGGGUUGGGAGGAAUUGGCGGGAGAGC
rnacentral:rRNA from 1 species